rnacentral:rRNA from 1 species
CGGGAUUAGGGUUUGAUUAUGGCUCAGGAUGAACGCUAGCGGCAGGCCUAACACAUGCAAGUCGAGGGGUAACAGGAAAGCUUGCUUUUGCUGACGACCGGCGCACGGGUGCGUAACGCGUAUGCAACCUACCUCAUACUGGAGGAUAGCCCCUGGAAACGGGGAUUAAUACUCCAUAGUAUCACGAAUUCGCAUGUUUUUGUGAUUAAAGUUUUUCGGUAUGAGAUGGGCAUGCGUCCCAUUAGCUUGUUGGUGAGGUAACGGCUCACCAAGGCAACGAUGGGUAGGGGGCCUGAGAGGGUGGUCCCCCACACUGGUACUGAGACACGGACCAGACUCCUACGGGAGGCAGCAGUGAGGAAUAUUGGUCAAUGGAGGCAACUCUGAACCAGCCAUGCCGCGUGAAGGAUGACGGCCCUAUGGGUUGUAAACUUCUUUUAUAGAGGAAGAAACUUGUCUACGUGUAGACAACUGACGGUACUCUACGAAUAAGGAUCGGCUAACUCCGUGC